rnacentral:rRNA from 1 species
UACGUAGGGGGGCUAGCGUUGUCCGGAAUCAUUGGGCGUAAAGCGCGUGUAGGCGGUCCGGUAAGUCCGCUGUGAAAGUCGGGGGCUCAACCCUCGGAUGCCGGUGGAUACUGUCGGGCUUGAGGUACGGAAGAGGCGAGUGGAAUUCCCCGGUGUAGCGGUGAAAUGCGCAGAUAUCGGGAGGAACACCAAUGGCGAAGGCAGCUCGCUGGGACGGUACUGACGCUGAGACGCGAAAGCGUGGG